AGGCGACGAAGUGGUUGAUACCAUGCUUCCAAGAAAAGCUCCUAAGCUUCAGAUAACUGGGAACCGUACCCCAAACCGACACAGGUGGUUAGGUAGAGAAUACCAAGGCGCUUGAGAGAACUCGGGUGAAGGAACUAGGCAAAAUGGCACCGUAACUUCGGGAGAAGGUGCGCCGGCGAGGGUGAAGGACUUGCUCCGUAAGCCCAUGCCGGUCGAAGAUACCAGGCCGCUGCGACUGUUUAUUAAAAACACAGCACUCUGCAAACACGAAAGUGGACGUAUAGGGUGUGACGCCUGCCCGGUGCCGGAAGGUUAAUUGAUGGGGUUAGCGCAAGCGAAGCUCUUGAUCGAAGCCCCGGUAAACGGCGGCCGUAACUAUAACGGUCCUAAGGUAGCGAAAUUCCUUGUCGGGUAAGUUCCGACCUGCACGAAUGGCGUAACGAUGGCGGCGCUGUCUCCACCCGAGACUCAGUGAAAUUGAAAUCGCUGUGAAGAUGCAGUGUAUCCGCGGCUAGACGGAAAGACCCCGUGAACCUUUACUAUAGCUUUGCACUGGACUUUGAAUUUGCUUGUGUAGGAUAGGUGGGAGGCUUUGAAGUGGGGACGCCAGUUCUCAUGGAGCCAUCCUUGAAAUACCACCCUGGCAACUUUGAGGUUCUAACUCAGGUCCGUUAUCCGGAUCGAGGACAGUGUAUGGUGGGUAGUUUGACUGGGGCGGUCUCCUCCCAAAGAGUAACGGAGGAGUACGAAGGUGCGCUCAGACCGGUCGGAAAUCGGUCGUAGAGUAUAAAGGCAAAAGCGCGCUUGACUGCGAGACAAACACGUCGAGCAGGUACGAAAGUAGGUCUUAGUGAUCCGGUGGUUCUGUAUGGAAGGGCCAUCGCUCAACGGAUAAAAGGUACUCCGGGGAUAACAGGCUGAUACCGCCCAAGAGUUCAUAUCGACGGCGGUGUUUGGCACCUCGAUGUCGGCUCAUCACAUCCUGGGGCUGAAGCCGGUCCCAAGGGUAUGGCUGUUCGCCAUUUAAAGUGGUACGCGAGCUGGGUUUAGAACGUCGUGAGACAGUUCGGUCCCUAUCUGCCGUGGACGUUUGAGAUUUGAGAGGGGCUGCUCCUAGUACGAGAGGACCGGAGUGGACGAACCUCUGGUGUUCCGGUUGUCACGCCAGUGGCAUUGCCGGGUAGCUAUGUUCGGAAGAGAUAACCGCUGAAAGCAUCUAAGCGGGAAACUUGCCUCAAGAUGAGAUCUCACUGGAACCUUGAGUUCCCUGAAGGGCCGUCGAAGACUACGACGUUGAUAGGUUGGGUGUGUAAGCGCUGUGAGGCGUUGAGCUAACCAAUACUAAUUGCCCGUGAGGCUUGACCAUAUAACACCCAAGCAAUU
rnacentral:rRNA from 1 species